UAAAAAGACGAAAACUAGCAUCAUUUCAGACUUCUCGUUAAGUAAAGCCAUUUUAUUGUUCGUGUUUCAUUGGUAUAACAAAAUGAAAAUAGUGCUAAUCUGUUUUUUCUUGCUUUGCAGCUUCAAUAGUAUCUUGAUGGUAACGAUUGGCCCUGAAAGAGACUUCGAACGGGGUAGGCCGUGCUAUCGUGUCGCUGAUUGUAAAGAAGGAUACUGUUGCGUCAACCGAAUGGUAUUAAGAAGCAGACAAUUAAGUUGCCAGCCAUUGGGAGACCCUGGAAACUUUUGCACUACAAAAGCCAAUAAAGAAAACAAAUAUACAGACGCUUGUCCAUGUAAACCUGACUUAGCAUGCUCGCAAUAUGCACCUCGACAAAAUAUUUGUAGCUUCGCCAAUGGUACAGUCCCAGACAGUCCUUCUUACUUCCGAUGAGGAAGCUCUUUGUAUUACUUCAUGCCAAUCAAAUAAAUUGAAUUUGAAAUAUUGA